UCCCCCUUAGCUCAGUGGUAGAGCGCGUCACUAGUAUGAGUCAUUACGUCAUGACGAGGUCAGUCGUUCAAGUCGGCUAGGGGGAA